rnacentral:lncRNA from 1 species
UAAUUCCUGUCUUUCACCAGGACCAACGGUACUGUUGCUCUAGCUACAGGAAUAAUCCUGGGCAGCACUUGUUGACCUUGGUCACUGUCAAGGGAAGAUCGGCUGUUCCCACUGAGGGCAUCUUGAUGGAUUAAGAAACCCAAAGAGCACAUCAAACAGCGAACUACGCCUAAGCUAUCCAUGUUUCUCCUGCUUCUUCUGAGAGGGUGAUUUACACGUAGCUCAACACUCGAGUGUUGCAGUAUCGAGUGACUGCAACCAAACAAUGGAACAUGCAUCGUGCCUGUUGACAGAGCCUGCAGUUGGCUUGGAACCGGGACCAUGCUGCAUUCGACAUCGUUCCUGGUGGCUGACUUGUUCCCAUAGAAUUAAAUGCUAGGCAUCCAGAAGCUGACUGUGCAUCUGAUGGGCUCACUAACAUUCAGGAACAGGUUGGCCUCAGACUUCAUCAAUGGAAAGAGCCACCUAGAACAUGGAUGCAAGCUGGAACUUUGACGUUGUCUUGGGGAUAAAAGUUAAACAAAGAAGUGGAUUCUUCAGUCCUGACGCGUAAGUCACUGAGAGGAUGAGCUCGUUCCCUCUCCUGAAAGACAUCUUCCUGUUACAGCAGCCAGCUUUGCCAGCUCCCUGAACGUUCUGCUGCCUCCUUGCCCAGAACGGUGUUUGGUGUCGUGUCCCCUUGCCUUCUUGUUUGACCGUAGAGUUGGCAAAACAGGUUGACCAACAUGACUGCCUGCUAUAAAUGUGGUAUGAGACAUUUCUUAUCCUCCUUCUCUCCACUGCAUUUCCUCCUCCCCUCCCCUUCUUCACGUCCUCCAUUUUCCCCUCCCUUCUUCUCCUUCUCCUUUUGUGUAUGUGAGUAUGCCUGUGAGGUAUGUGUGUAUGUAUGCAUAUGUGCAUAUGCAUGUGAGCCCACAAGUUCACACAAGGCCAGAGGAGAACAUCAGGUGCCCUGUUCCACCCCUCUUCUGUUUCUCUUGAGGAAGGCCCUUCUACUGAAUUUAGAGCUGGGCUGGUUGCCAACAAGUCCCCGAAAUCCUCCUUCUCCAACCUUCUCAGCACUGGGGUCACAAGCAUGAGUGGGGCCAAGCCUCCGUCUUUACAUAGGGACGCGAAGCUCAUGCUUGCACAGCAAGGGCCCUGUCUUAAGAGUUUCAUUGCUGCGAAGAGACACCAGGACCAAGGCAACUCCCAUAAAGGAAAACACUUUUUUAAUUUAGGCUGGCUUACAGCUUCAGAGGUUUACUCCAUUAUUGUCAGGGUGGGAAGCAUGGCAGUGUACAGGUAAACAAGAUGCUGGAGGAGCCAGAAGUUCUACAUCUUUAUCUGUAGGAAGCAGGAGGAACAGACAGCCAGGAGGAGGCUCUCUUCCAAAAGCAGCCAGGAAAAGACUAUAUUCUACACUGGGUGUAGCUUGAGUUUAUGUGAGACUUCAAAACCCCUAGCCCACAAUGGCACACCUCUUUCAGCAAGGCCAUACCUCCUCCAACAAGGCCACACUCAGACAGACACACUAGUAAGCUGGACUACCCCCAAAGGAAGGUAAUAGAUCUUGAAGCCAUUUUCAGAGAGGGCAUGCUUCUUUCAGCAGAGAUGAGCCGCCUGCA